UACCAGCUCUCCGAGUGGUGUGGAUGUUUAUUGGGCCUAAAGCAUCCGUAGCUGGCUGGGCAAGUCCCCUGUUAAAUCCACUGAUUUAAUCAUUGGAGUGCGGGGGAUACUGCUUGGCUAGGGGACGGGAGAGGCAGACGGUAUUUUCGGGGUAGGGGUGAAAUCCUAUAAUCCCGGGAAGACCACCAGUGGCGAAGGCUGUCUGCUAGAACGCGCCCGACGGUGAGGGAUGAAAGCUGGGGGAGCGAACCGGAUUAGAUACCCGGGUAGUCCCAGCUGUAAACGAUGCAGGCUAGGUGUUUGGGCGGCCACGUGCCGCUCUAGUGCCGCAGGGAAGCCGUUAAGCCUGCCGCCUGGGGGAGUAUGGCCGCAAGGCUGAAACUUAAGGAAUUGGCGGGGGAGCACCACAAGGGGUGAAGCUUGCGGUUU
rnacentral:rRNA from 1 species